AGAUUUUGAAUAAACAACUUCCUGUGCUGGGUUUCUAGGAGCAGAGGGAUGAGAAGGUUGGAUAGACUAGGGUGAGAGCCCACUUUUGAAGGCCUGUCCAGCUUUGUUGACUGUCACUGAGCAAGUGGAGGAAACCGACUGACUACCUCUCCACCUCAUUCUGACCUGAAUGAGUCAACUCUGAGAUCUCACUGGACAAACCACGGAUGGAUACACAAAGGAUGCCUAGUAAUGGAAGCACCAAGGGAGAGUGUCAUAUGAAGAUGAAGGUGGCCAUCUACGAGCCAAGGACAGACAAGCACCUGGCCUGCUGAUACUCUGAUGUUGGACUUCCAGCCUCCGUAAGCACAGGAACAUGAUUAUGUGCUGCUGGGGACGGUCGGGCUGAGUCAUGUUGUCAUGGCAACCCUCAUAAACCGAUAAUACUGCCCUAUGUCUUGGCUCAGAGACCAUUUGCUUCAGGACAAGUGGCCCAGGAACCUCUUUAACUGUGUGCUUCCUUGCUCCCUAAGGUCAGCCUUUCCUACAUCUUGACUCUUCGGUGACAGUUAUCAGAACAAAAGACCGGCAGACACACACACACACACACACACACACACACACACACAACCCCAGAAACCAACCUAGGAGCGUUCCAGGUGGCCAGGUGGUACAGGGAAGCAAUUAUAGUCAGGGAAACUGCAGACCUAUCACAGAGCAUCCGUGUGGCCCUGGUGAGCAAUGUCUGCUCUAUCAGGGUCUGACUGCCGAGCUUAGCGGCCAGGGGCAAUGUCUGCUCUAUCAGGGUAUGACUGCCGAGCUUAGCGGCCAGGGGAGACGUCCCCGCUUCACUGGGGUUUCUGUCAAGCAGAAAGACAAGAUAAAGUCCACAUAGUUCCCAGCACUCUGCAGGAGCAGAAGCUCCAC